rnacentral:piRNA from 1 species
UGCAGGAAAUCCUUCAGAAAUUCCUCGUGCC